CAACCUUUUUGAACUCUCUCACCCUUUUACAGCAUCUACUUCACUUUAGCAUGCAGAUUGUAUGAAUAUAAACGAUCCUCAGUAGUUCCAAGGGUCAGAAUUGCGCAGAAACGGCACAAACAACAGGUCAUUCUAUAGCGGAGAAUUCCCGUGGAUUUUUCACCGGAGAGACAGUUAAUCUUCAACUGCUGCACAGGCGUCACUCUCGCGCAGAAACUCAGCAGGCAACAGGAGCUUGACCCAGCACAGAAAGAAGCAGAUGCCAUCAAUGUUUUGGAGCAGGAAGACAGAAAGUUGCCUUUCAACCCACUGGAUUGUCCUUGAAAAUGUGUUGGGGACAUUUGUUAAAACUUGGGUCAGUGCACUGACUUUUUGGGCUACUUUGUGCCCUACACAUCAGCUACCCAAAGAACACUUUUUCUCUCUUUUUUGAGGUCAUACAGUAAAUGGGGUUGCAUCUUUAUGAUGGCAAGGUCUGGCCAAAUUUAAAAGAUCUUUUGAAUGAAUGGUUUAAUUUAUAAAUACAAACUGUUUCUGGUGGUUUUGUUACCGAAUUAGUUCAGAGAGUUUUCUCCUACCUGCAUAUAAUUCUGCAGCCCACUUGUUUUUUGUUUAUCAUCUUCAUAUUUUCCUGGUAUUAAUAAUAAUAAUAAUAAUAAUAAUAAUAAUAGUCAACACUGCUGUAAUGGUGUUUUCAUUCCAGCUGCUGAGGGUGUAACAGUAAAUUUGUCAUCUUUCUCUCUUCUGACUGUUGUAUCCAUCUCUCUGGUUUUUUCUCUUUUGGAAAGCCUUGGAAAUGUAAUAGCAGAUUUUUUUUUAUUUUACACAUAAUACUUGUAUGUGUAAAAGGCGAUACUCUUUGGAUACUUUGUUGGUUUUGUAUUAUUUCUGUUAAGAGAAUAAGAAAAUAUGUGCAAUGCUCUGAGUUUCAGGCUGGCAGCUGCAAGUUUGUUUACUCAUGGUGGCUGCUGACUCUUCACGAGUCACAUUACUUUAUGCAUCAUACAUGUUUGAGCAAUCACAGAUUGCAGCACCUCCCACAGUCCCUCUUUUCCCAAAAAGUACUUAGCCAAGAGUAGGAAAUAAAAAGUUCUCUCUAGACGGCUAAGAGGAGCUAUAGAUCCGCAUGUGUGAAAAAACGAGUAAAAGUAGCUAAAACAGGCUAGUUUUAGGUUAGUUCCAGUAAUAUCUACAGAUAUAUUUCAUGUAUGACCAGGGGGCAGAUUAUGACUAGCAAGGGCCCUGGGGUCAAUUUUGUUUUUCUUUCAUUCUCUUUCUUUCUUUCUUUCUUUCUUUCUGUUCAACCUGUAAAAAUGUCUAACUUUAAGCAUUUAAACCUAUUUUAAACUUUCAGACCAUAUUUUGUCAGACCAACAUUAUAGUUUGUCUCAACAAACUUUACAUAUCUAGUUUAAUCAGAACUUUUGAACCACACAAAGUAAAAUAUCAAUAUUUUUUCCCCAACCACCUAAGCCAAGUUAUUUUUUGUAAUGCAGGGCAAAAAUGCAGCUGUAGCAAUUAAUAAUAUAAUAAACAUUUUAGUUUGACACCUCUUUUAUAUAAAGAAUAAAGCUUGACGAUAUAAACAUAUGAAAUAAUGGUAAAAAUACUAUUUUUCAAACCUGU